CACACUUCUUUUAUCUACUAUGAAGCCAACAAAAAUACCAUACCAUGUCUUUCAGAAUAUAAUCAAAACAAACAUAGUUCCCUUUGUAACCAUACCAUACCGUACCAUACCAUAGGAAACCACCAUUCAAACAGGCGCUAAUGCAACGAUUCCUACAAUACCACCUUUAUCUCCACCAUAUUCCAAUUGGAGAACCACCAAAUACCGCCCAUAUACCCUUUUUUCUCUGUUAGCAUCGCUUCUCUUUCUCCUCUUUGAUUGGUGACAACCAAUGAUUUAUUUCUAUUUGUCCAAUCAGAGAAACCCACCAACCCUGGUCUUAGCCACACAACGUCGAUAUCCCUCCCUACCACCUCCAUGAACCAGGAACAACAUCUAGCCACCAUCGUCCCUCACUUCUCGCUCCUAAUCUUCUUCCCCCAUUAUUGCUCCAAUUCUAGCAAAUCCCACUGGAAUCCAACACUAAUCAUCGCGGCCUCCCAUUGGAACCUAUCGAGUCAGCCACCUACAUCUCUCUUUCUACUCUUAAUUCUCUUUCCCCAUUUGCCAUUAUUGCUCAGAAAAACUUGAGAAUGGUCCGGUAAGUGUCAAAAGGGGCAUGGCAAUAAAUAGUUUCUUAUGAUAUGGGUUUUGUGAUAUUACCGAAGUGGUGCACAAUCACCAUUCAUCUUUUCCCCUUAAAAGCUUUAAGAUUUCGAGUUUAAGAUGGAUUCUUAUGAAUUCGUUUAUGGUAUAAUUCCAUAGUGAUUAGUUCUAUCUCCGUCUCAAUUUUGUGAUUUUAUUCUUAAAUUUCAUGCAUACAAAAUUUGUGAUUAUUGAGUGUUGAUUCCCCUUUUCAAUUAAUUGUUUCUCUCUUCUUUGCAUAUGUAUAUUGUCAUGAAAAUUGUGUUUGAUCGUUGAUACAUUUGAAUUAGUUGUUGGUUUUGAAUACAUAUUGAUACGCUUGUCACUUUAAUUCUAGAUGAAUUAGAAUCAUAGAGAUUGUAAUUUACGUCUUCAUUUCUUAUGUGAUUAAUAACCAACUUUGGUUAUAAUAAGUUGAUGUUUGGUCAUAACUUAUUUUUGAUAAGCUAUGAUCGACUCUAAGUGCUAAUUGACCCCUUUUUUUUUUUUUUGGGCAACUAUAAUACAAAGUCAUUUAUGGUAAAAUAUUAAUUUAUUUAUACCUAAUUGAGAAUGUUAGUUGGCUGACUAAUGUAUGACUUAUAUGAAAUUAUGUGACAGAUUUAUUCUUGUUUAUUUUUAAUAAAUCCCAUGGUUCUAUGAUUUCCUUACUUAUUCUAUUAUUCUUAUUUGGUUUGGAUAGAUUUUUUACUUGUCUAAUUAUGAUAUAUUGUGAUUUGGCCGUUUUGGUUAAUGUUAUACCCCUCUUUAAUUUAAAUAUAUUACUUGCUUAUUUAUGGAAAAUGAAGAUUCUAUUUACAACUAAUUUAUUUAGUCUUUUGGUUUUAAGAAAAAUAAAUAUCUUUAAUUGAUUUUCAAAAUAUUCUUCUUACUUUUUAUUUUUGGUGAUUGUUCACAAAAUCUUUGCCUAUAUAAACAACCUCUUUUUCAUUUAUAAAAAAUACUUUUCGACUCCUACUCUCUCUCAUACUAAAAUAUAUUUUUACUUUUUGCUUUGACUUGCCGCACACAAUUACUUGAGUUCUCAUUCUAUUUGAGCAGUGGAAGUUUGAAUUCUCGGUCUCUUCUUGCUUUAUGUUGCAUGUUGAUUAGAAGGUUUUGUUUUUCUUUUUUACUUUUAUUGUUAAGUAGUGAGUUCCUAUCAAUGCAAUUUUCAAUUUUUAUUUGGUAGUUUUCUUGUAACUUAGAGAACUUGUUUGCACAAUUAAGUGUCGAAAUGAUGUCUUGUAUCCUUCAUGUUUGUCUAUCUCUUUAUGGUUGUUUCAUAUUUUGGAGAAUUUGAAUUUGAUUUUUUUUUGCCUAACAGGUUCUGUUAGAAGAUAUUUGGUAUUUGAAGAGUUGCCCAGAGUUUAAAGAGAGAUGCCUAGCUCGUUUCAUUUUUUAGUCUAGAUUUUCAUUUUCUAUUUACUUUUUGUCUGCAAUUAUUAUUAUAUAAACGCCGAUAUGUAAUGAAAUUAUAGCAACUGCUUAUGGGGGGUGG
rnacentral:lncRNA from 1 species